rnacentral:rRNA from 1 species
UAAUACCCUAUAGGUUACAGAUGCUGGAAUGCUCUGUAAUCAAAAGUUCCGGCGCCUUAGGAUGGAUCUGCGGUCGAUUAGGUUGUUGUUGGGGUAACGGCCCAACAAGCCUGUAAUCGAUACGGGUUGUGGGAGCAAGAGCCCGGAGAUGGAAUCUGAGACACGAUUCCAGGCCCUACGGGGCGCAGCAGGCGCGAAAACUUUACAAUGCAGGAAACUGUGAUAAGGGAACUCCGAGUGCCCGUAUACGCGGGCUGUCCAGGUGUUUAAAAAUCAUCUGAAGAAAGGGCCGGGCAAGACCGGUGCCAGCCGCCGCGGUAAUACCGGCGGCUCGAGUGGUGGCCACUAUUAUUGGGCUUAAAGCGUCCGUAGCUGGACCGAUAAGUCUCUUGGGAAAUCCGCCGGCUCAACCGGCGGGCGUCUAAGGGAUACUGUUAGUCUAGGGACCGGGAGAGGUGAGAGGUACUCCGGGGGUAGGAGUGAAAUCCUGUAAUCCCCGGGGGACCACCGAUGGCGAAGGCAUCUCACCAGAACGGCUCCGACAGUGAGGGACGAAAGCUGGGGGAGCGAACCGGAUUAGAUACCCGGGUAGUCCCAGCCGUAAACUAUGCGCGUUAGGUGUAC